GGAGGCUGCUGGGGAGACCACCUGCACCCCCAGCUGGUGCUGCCCAGGUGUUCGUUGGUAUGGGGACUGCCGGAGUUACACGGGAUCUCAUCCAGAUAAAAACAUCCUUGAUCCCAGGGACACCGAGCCACGGAGCCCAGUGUGACUGCGGUGCACAGGAUAAGGCCAGCCACGUAGUCCUGGAGGCCAGCGAUCCAUCACAUGCUGAUAGAGAACACGCAACAAGGAAGGUGUUAACGUGACAAGGAAGGCGUUAACGUGCUGUGGUGGUGGUGGGACCCCGCUGCAGGGACACCUGCUCUGCUGUGUGGGCAGCGGGCUGCUCCUCUGCGCUGGGCUAAAGGCGCUGGCCUCGCGACCUGCGUCAGCUGCUUGCGUGGCCGCUGAGCAGGUCUGCCACUCCCAAGGGUGCUGGAGAUGAAGGACUUUGUGGGUUUUUACUUAGAGGAGGCAUUCAAGCACAGCGUAUAGCCUAUAAACUGCUUAGGAGACUCUAAGCUUUACUUACUGCUCCUUCUGGGGUAACCGGCGUCAUGUGCCUAGUCUGACUAAUGCUUUUUAAAAUGCAGUAGAUUAAAGGUGAAUGUGUUGUUUUGGAUUUA